rnacentral:tRNA from 1 species
GGCCUGUAGGCCUAAUAGCAAGGCGCUUGACUACGAAUUAAGGGAAUGCAGGUUAGAUCCUUGCGUAGAUCU